AGAGUUUGAUCCUGGCUCAGAACGAACGCUGGCGGCAGGCUUAACACAUGCAAGUCGAACGCUCGCAGCAAUACGGGAGUGGCAGACGGGUGAGUAACGCGUGGGAACAUACCCUCCGGUUCGGAAUAGCUCAGGGAAACUUGGAUUAAUACCGGAUACGGCCGAGAGGCGAAAGAUUUAUCGCCGGAGGAUUGGCCCGCGUUCGAUUAGCUAGUUGGUGAGGUAAUGGCUCACCAAGGCGAUGAUCGAUAGCUGGUCUGAGAGGAUGAUCAGCCACAUUGGGACUGAGACACGGCCCAAACUCCUACGGGAGGCAGCAGUGGGGAAUAUUGGACAAUGGGCGCAAGCCUGAUCCAGCCAUGCCGCGUGAGUGAUGACGGCCUUAGGGUUGUAAAGCUCUUUCGCUCGGGACGAUAAUGACGGUACUGAGAUAAGAAGCCCCGGCUAACUUCGUGCCAGCAGCCGCGGUAAUACGAAGGGGGCUAGCGUUGUUCGGAAUUACUGGGCGUAAAGCGCGUGUAGGCGGGUCUUUAAGUCAGGGGUGAAAUGCCAAGGCUCAACCUUGGAACUGCCUUUGAUACUGGAGACCUUGAGUCCGGGAGAGGUGAGUGGAAUUGCGAGUGUAGAGGUGAAAUUCGUAGAUAUUCGCAAGAACACCAGUGGCGAAGGCGGCUCACUGGCCCGGAACUGACGCUGAGACGCGAAAGCGUGGGGAGCAAACAGGAUUAGAUACCCUCGUAGUCC
rnacentral:rRNA from 1 species